rnacentral:rRNA from 1 species
CAGUAGCCACGGGAAUACGUAGGUGGCAAGCGUUGUCCGGAAUUAUUGGGCGUAAAGGGCUCGCAGGCGGUUUCUUAAGUCUGAUGUGAAAGCCCCCGGCUCAACCGGGGAGGGUCAUUGGAAACUGGGAAACUUGAGUGCAUAAGAGGAGAGUGGAAUUCCACGUGUAGCGGUGAAAUGCGUAGAGAUGUGGAGGAACACCAGUGGCGAAGGCGACUCUCUGGUCUGUAACUGACGCUGAGGAGCGAAAGCGUGGGGAACGAACAGGAUUAGAUACCCGAGUAGUCCCUGUCUCUUAUAC